rnacentral:rRNA from 1 species
UGGGGAGUAUUGGACAAUGGGGGCAACCCUGAUCCAGCAAUGCCGCGUGAGUGAUGAAGGCCUUAGGGUUGUAAAGCUCUUUCGGCGGGGAAGAUGAUGACGGUACCCGCAGAAGAAGCCCCGGCUAACUUCGUGCCAGCAGCCGCGGUAAUACGAAGGGGGCUAGCGUUGUUCGGAAUUACUGGGCGUAAAGGGCGCGUAGGCGGUCUUGUAAGUCAGGCGUGAAAGGCCCGGGCUCAACCUGGGGACUGCGCUUGAUACUGCGAGGCUUGAAUCCGGGAGAGGAUGGCGGAAUUCCCAGUGUAGAGGUGAAAUUCGUAGAUAUUGGGAAGAACACCGGUGGCGAAGGCGGCCAUCUGGACCGGUAUUGACGCUGAGGCGCGAAAGCGUGGGGAGCAAACAGGAUUAGAUACCCUGGUAGUCCACGCCGUAAACGAUGAGUGCUAGACGUUGGGGAGCAUGCUCUUCGGUGUCGACGCUAACGCAUUAAGCACUCCGCCU